AUGGAGGAGUUCGACGAGGCCGACGUCCUGUGGCCGGACCACCACGAGGACGAAGAACCUGUCCAAGUGCAAGACCGCCAGCAGCAGCAGCGUGUGUCACCGGCGAUCAAGCCGAACGACAAGAUCGACGCGGCGCGUCGCCCGGCGGGCUCGUCGUCGGCGCCGAUGGUCAUCCCCGUGGUGCCAAGGCACCCGAUGAUGAUGGAUCAUGGCUCGUGGGCACGGAGGUGCCACAGCGACGGCGUUGGGGGCGCGUCGUUCGUGGCGCCGCACGUGAUGACGGCGAGACGGCGGUGCGCGUAUUCGGAGGAGAGGUCGGUGUGCGUGGGGCAGGGGCGCACGCUCAAGGGCCGCGACCUCCUCUAUGUCCGCACCGCCGUGCUCCGCAUGACCGGCUUCCUCGAGACCUGA
rnacentral:rRNA from 1 species